UACAGAGGUCUCAAGCGUUGUUCGGAUUCAUUGGGCGUAAAGGGUGCGUAGGCGGCGCGGUAAGUCGGGUGUGAAAUCUCGGAGCUUAACUUCGAAACUGCAUUCGAUACUGCCGUGCUUGAGGACUGGAGAGGAGACUGGGAAUUUACGGUGUAGCGGUGAAAUGCGUAGAUAUCAGGAGGAACACCCGUGGCGAAGGCGGCUCUCUGGGACGGUACUGACGCUGAGACGCGAAAGCGUGGGGAGCGAACAGG
rnacentral:rRNA from 1 species